rnacentral:rRNA from 1 species
UCUGCCCUGGGUGAGUCGGGUCCUAAGGCGAGGCCGACAGGCGUAGUCGAUGGGUAACCAGUUGAUAUUCUGGUACCGGCUUGUCACCGUCCGUGUCGAGGUGUGUGAUGCUAAGCAUGUGAGCUUGUCUUGGGAGUGUUUUUGAUGCUUCUGGGGUGGGUGAGUGUGUGAACCGAUCAUGUAGUAGGCAAGCUGCGGAGGGACGCAGUGAGGUAGCUCAUCCCCGGUGAUGGUUGUCCGGGGCUAAGUGUGUGGACUGUCUGGUAGGUAAAUCCGCUGGGCGUGAAGGUUGAGGCAUGAUGGGGAGCCCAUGGUUGUGGGUGAGUGAGUGAUCCUGUACUGUCGAGAAAAGCUUCGUGAGCGAGGUGGCGGGUCCGCCCGUACCCUAAACCGACACUGGUGGAUAGGUAGAGUAUACCGAGGCGAUCGAGUGAAUCGUGGUGAAGGAACUCGGCAAAAUGCCCCCGUAACUUUGGGAUAAGGGGGACCUGAGCUGUCGUGCACCCGUGCGGUGUGGUGGCGGUGAGGGGCGCAGAGUCCAGGGGGAAACGACUGUUUACCAAAAACACAGGUCCGUGCGAAGUCGUAAGAC